rnacentral:rRNA from 1 species
GUGCCAGCCGCCGCGGUACUACGGAGGGUCCGAGCGUUAGUCGGAAUUACUGGGCGUAAAGCGUGCGCAGGCGGUUUGUUAAGCCAGAUGUGAAAUCCCCGGGCUCAACCUGGGAAUUGCAUUUGGAACUGGCGAACUAGAGUCUUGUAGAGGGGGGUAGAAUUCCAGGUGUAGCGGUGAAAUGCGUAGAUAUCUGGAGGAAUACCGGUGGCGAAGGCGGCCCCCUGGACAAAGACUGACGCUCAUGCACGAAAGCGUGGGGAGCAAACAGGAUUAGAUACCCUGGUAGUCCACGCCGUAAACGAUGUCUACUCGGAGUUUGGUGACUUAGUCACUGGGCUCCCAAGCUAACGCAUUAAGUAGACCGCCUGGGGAGUACGGCCGCAAGGUUAAA